CAAAAAAAAAAAAAAUCCCCUUUUUUGAACUGCAACUCAGUUGUUAUGCUGAAUAUGUUUGCAGAACCACCAUUUUAAUAAAUAAUUCUGCACUGACAAAUCUCAGUAAGUGGGUAUGAACGUGAAGGCUUAAGAAAAAGAUACAUUUGCAUACACUGCUACCCAUGCCAUGAAUCUUACAUUAUAUUCUAUGAAGAGUUUAUUUCAACUAAGCUAAAAUGUUGCAUUGGGUGUAGUAUAGGAAUUAGGAAUCAACAGCUUUUAAUCUUUAUCCUGACCCUCCAGCAAACCAAUAAAACCUUUGAUAUUGGAGUAUCCUUGCACUUAGGAUGUGAAAAGUCAUUUAUUUCAUUUGAUUGACAUGAAAUUAUGUUAAUAAUCAGAUUGCUUUUAAUAAGCCUUCGGGUCUGCAAGUUUUGCCUGGAGGGUUUUUCCAACAGCAAACUGUUUCAACUGAAUUCCACUGGUUAGCUAAGGAACAAAUCUCUGGGCAAAGAAACAAAUCUCUUUCUUACUGAGCCAAGAAUCACAUCUCGUUUCUGUUCAUCGCAUAGGAAGGGGCACAUCUGGUUAGCUGAGGUAUUGCUGAACAAUAUGACAAUGACUGUUUGCUUUUGUUAACUGUUAGCUGCGUUCUCAAUGGUUCAUAACCUCAUAUACAUGACAACUGAAAAUUUUUUUUAAUUAAUCCAGUGAUCAGAAGGAAGCAUACACUUGAAGGCCAGUUUGCACAACUAAUAUUUACUGAAAUAAAUAAUAAAUUCCGAGAACUAAGAAAUAAAUAUAGAUCCUAUUAUUUGUUAGUUGUGUUUGAUAAUUCCAUAGUUUAAUUCAGGACAGAAGUCCCGACGUAACUGUCAGUUUGAUCUUAGUUUGGACAGCAAGGCUGAUCCACUAUUGCCUGAAUGUGAUGGUUUCCUGCCAUGUUUUUGCCUUCCUGCGAUGCCAUGUCUAUUCCUCCCUCAAACUCCCAAUGCAGAAAGUUUAGUGCACCUGUACACUGUUUAGAUUUUUUAUAUAAUGGAAUGAUAUGACAACCAUAUUUAUUUUGGUAAUCAGAGAUUUCUGCAGUUUCAUUUUUAUGCUGAUGGUUUGUAUUCUCUUCCUUGCAUAACAUGCCAGACAUUUUGUGCUUCUUUUACCUGAGAGUUGUCUCACCAGUUCUUUUGGUCUUUAUAUUGCAUCAAUAGUGUUGAUUAGGAAAAAACCAUAUCUUCUUCUAAAUUUCCAAUGAUUUGAUCAGUUGUCAAGUGGAUUCUAGAAAUAUUACUGUGUGCAAAGUCAAAGCUUGCCAGGACUCACCUAGCAGCAUAUUUUGCUGAUGGCACAUCUCGUGUUGGAGAUAUUGGGUUAGUGAAGAAUUCCAUCUUGCUUGCUUCUUCACUUGUUUUUAAAAUAUGUAAAAGUUCAUCUGAUAUAGGAACCUUCUCAUGUUUCCUUUGAGGCCAUGGAUUGCAGAGAUGCCUAUGGACAUGUUUCCUCUGGUCACAUAUUGACCACCUUUUCUGGUUUAAUAACUGUACAGAGAGAUUGACAAACCUGCUGCAUAGCUUAUUGAAAUUUGAUUGUGGAUCCACAGUUUACGUUCGAGUCUUUACUUUCAAUAUUUUUCAGAAAUUUUCAGUGGAAAGGAUUAGAAAUUCUGGUGUGAGAUCAAUUUUUACCCUCUUAUGUGUAAUUUUCUUGAUUCAAAUCUAUUAUUGGGGAAGGUGGGAGGGUGGAGAAGGACCAAGAUGAGAAAUGUAGAGAAAUUUGCAUUAGUUGAAAUUUUUGUUCAACGGAAAAAUAAAAAGGAGUGAGACAACUAGUGCUACACAUGAAAGUUGAAUGAAAUAAAAUCUCAAAAUUCAUUCUCAGUUGGAGGCACUAUCGUAGCUGAAUUGUUUUUUUUCCAAAUUACUGAAUCUCUUGGUGGAUGUAGAAAAAUUAGAAUUAAAACCUUUAGUCUCUUUGUGAACGUAACGGAUCCACUAUUACUAUUCUGUUAUAAGCUGAUGGCAUUAGCCAAAUAACCCUCAGCCCCCACCACCUGAUCACCACCCUUAGACCUACUAUAUGUUUUGGUGGUUAUGCUUAGGAAAAAAAUUAUUCAACCUGAGUUCUUGUAGUGAAGGUUACGAACUAAAAAUAUAUGCUGCUACCCCAUGUAUUCCAGAGUCAAGCUACAGAACCCAAAUUCAAAUCAUACUUGAUUUAGUAGAGGAAGAAAGCAUGGGUGAUUAAUGGCUUGAGUAUUGAAGGGAGAACUGCUUAAACUGUGAGUUCUAGAAUGGGCCACUUUCUGUUUGUUUAGGUGCUGUGAGAAAAAUUUCACUCAUUAUAUGUUUUUCAUUUUCAACCAUAUGUACCCAGCUGAUGAAAUGUAUUAUUUUCUCAUAUACAGUGAUACCACCACAAAGCUUGUCAAGGGCAGGAAAAUUUCGAAGAUAUAUCGAGCACUAGUAGAUGGGAUACUCAAAGAAGAUAAGGUUAUCAUCAAUCAACCAAUUGGAACAGUGCGAUACCCUGGUGUGGCCAAGGGGCUGUAUGUUGCUUUGCCUUCAGGUACAUUAAACUGUUUUUAUUAAUGAAGAUUUUUCUCUCCCCUUCUUGAAGUACUUCUAGUUGCUACUACCAGUUUCACAGGCAUAAUACUUCUUUGGAUAUGUUUACAAGUGUGCUUAAGAGUCACCCAUCUUGCUGAGUAUUGUUUCAUCCUUUGCUUUCAUAUUGAUCCAUGGCUUUUCAGAAUUAUUUCUGAUCAUGUUUAUUCUUCCUUUUCUUUGUGUGUGUGUGUGUUAAACAAGGUAAACCAGCAUUGAGCAAAGUUGAAACACUUGAGAGGGAUGUGCAGGGAAACCGUACAUUGGUCCAGGUUGAGAUUGAGUCAGGACGGCCACACCAAAUACGUAUUCAUCUUUCUUUCAUAGGGCAUCCUUUGUUAGGUGAUCCUCUUUAUGUUGUUGGUGGGCAACCAAAGUGUGCUGAAUCUGAAUCUGUGGAUGAAAGCUUUGCUCAAGACGGGGGGUAUCAGAGACCUACAAAACCUGUUCCUGGAGAUUGUGGAUAUCACUUGCAUGCGCAUCAAUUGUUCCUCUUGCACCCAACUACAAAUGAGGUUAUAAAAAUCACAGCAGCGCUCCCGCCUAUUCUACAAACGAGGACAGAGACCGAAAUUCUAAUGGAAGUAAACGGUGCUGAACAACAAAAUUGACAAUUGUUUUGUCAUUAUGAGUGAAUCAACAGGAUGAUUUCUUGAUAAAGACAACCACCCUCAAAAAUAUCCCAAGCAAGCAAUCCGUUUUCGACUCCUUCGAUAAAAGACAAGUCGAAUUUUUUUCAAUUGACCAUUGUAGAGCAGCCACGACAGCAGUUGAAAACCAUACUCUAAAAAACGAAGUAUAUUCCGUCUUUGCUCAUCCAAUCAUAAGUUAAGGACUGUCAGAUGCUAUGUUUUUUUUUUUUUUUGGGUCGAGUUGCCAUGUUAGCUCAGGAAUUUUCAGAAGAAAAC
rnacentral:misc_RNA from 1 species